rnacentral:rRNA from 1 species
UACGUAGGGUGCAAGCGUUGUCCGGAUUUAUUGGGCGUAAAGAGCGUGUAGGCGGCCGUACAGGUCAGCUGUGAAAACUCGAGGCUCAACCUCGAGACGUCGGUUGAAACCGUACGGCUAGAGUCCGGAAGAGGAGAGUGGAAUUCCCGGUGUAGCGGUGAAAUGCGCAGAUAUCGGGAAGAACACCCGUGGCGAAGGCGGCUCUCUGGGACGGUACUGACGCUGAGACGCGAAAGCGUGGGGAGCAAACAGGG